rnacentral:rRNA from 1 species
AUUGAACGCUGGCGGCAGGCCUAACACAUGCAAGUCGAACGAGUGGCGGACGGGUGAGUAAUGUCUGUGAAACGGCCUGCUGGAGGGGUAUAACUACUGGAAACGGUAGCUACUACCGCAUACCAUCAGAUGUGCCCAGAUGGGAUUAGCUUGUUGGUGGGGUAACGGCUCACCAGGGCUACGAUCCCUAGCUGGUCUGAGCGGGUGACCAGCCCGACUGGAACUGAUACCCGGUCCAGACUCCUACGGGAGGCAGCAGUGGGGAAUAUUGCACAAGGGGCGCAAGCCGGAUGCAGCCAUGCCGCGUGUAUGAGGAGGGCCUUCGGGUUGUAAAGUACUUUCAGCGGGGAGGCGUUACCCGCAGAAGAAGCACCGGCUAACUCCGUGCCAGCAGCCGCGGUAAUAC